AUUCAGUGAACAAUAGAGCAGUAAGCCAUCAGCCAUAGAAAAAGAAAUGUGUUCCUGUGGCUUAAAAAUUUUGUCAUUUUCCCACUAAUUUCCUUUUGUGUGUGUGUGAUGCAUUCAGCUGUCAGUGUUGUUGAGUUACUGACUUGAAUAUUGUUCAGUUAUCUCCUGUAGUAAUUUUUUACAUAAAAUAUAUCUGUGAAAAAGUUUCAAAGUUUUUACAUGUCUGAAAUGCAUUUAUUUUGUGCUCACAUGUUAUUAGCAGUUUAGUUAUGUGAAGAGUUCUAGGGUCAUGUCGAUUUCUCCCCCUUGGAACUUUGAAGACAUUGCUCCAUUGCUUUUCAACAUACACUAUUUUGAAUGAAAUAUGUGAUAGUAGUAUGACUAUUUGUUAUUUUCAUUUUCUCUUUGUAGAUGCUUCUAGAAUUUUCUCUGUAUCCUUGUUCUUAGAUUUUACUGGAAUGUGUCUAGGUCUUUUUCCUCAACAGAGGUCUGCUCCAAAUGGAAAGUUGGUUUUGGGCUUCGUGAAUCUGGUUAAGGCAUGUCAAUUGCCAAGCUUUGUUUCUGGCUUGGCAAGCAGAGAUGGCAGGUAGGUACCUCUGUUCUCUCAGGGUUUAAAUGAGAGAAAGUUUACUUUGGUCUGUAACAUUUAUGCUAAGAAAUAUUUUUAUUCCACUUAUUUAGAGCACAAUUAUUUUUGUUUUCACUUAUUCUUUCUUUUUUCAGCCCUUCUACAGAAAUUUUCUCUUUUAUUUCUCCUAUCCACACCAAGCCUUGAGUUUUCCUGGGAAUGUUGGCUCUCACAUCCCUGAGGAAAACACAUGGAUUAAGUAAACCUUCACAAAGUACAACAAAGGAGGUUACUUUGAUUUGAGGAGAACUGCUUGAACUUUGUAGCCUCCAAAUAUUUUUCAGAUUUUAGUAAUGUAAAUAGUGGAUGUUCACUUGGAAUAGCUGAUUGAAAAUCUCAAAAAAAAGUAAAAUUCCUCUUGAAGACUUACAGCUCCCUGGAUUUUUAAAUGGUUAGUUUGCAAACUCUAGGCACUGUAUUUUUCCAUCUGGAUGGGCUCAUAGAGUAACCAGUAGAUUAUUAGUAGUUUCUAAAAAGUAAUAGACUUCAUUCUAUGUCAGAGAUGUCAUAGACCCAUUAUUCAAUCCUUAUCAAGAUAUUCUCUAUGUCACCUGGUAAGUCCAUUGAUUAAUCUGUUCAGUUUUUAAAAAGUAUUCUUCUACCUUGCCCUUCAUUAUAAGUCCGUUGGUUAACCAGGCAUGUCUGCUGAAUGCUGUUACUUUCCUUCCAAACUGAUUUUAAAUGUGUGCUUCUUGGGCCAAUAUUCUACAUGAUGAACAUCUUGGCUUUAGGUUUUACUCAUUUAAUAUUGACAUUUUUCACCCAUGACUUUACAUCAUAACUUCGUGAAUAAAAGUACUUAACAUUUUUUGAUAUUUUAUUGGCCUUUGACCCAGAGGCAGUUCCCAAUUAUUAACCAAGUCAAAAGUAGACAAACUUUUUCUUAAAGGAGUGUAGAAUAAAUAUUUUAGUCUCAUUCUCAUAAGGUCUCUAUUGCAGACACUCAGAUCUUCCACUGGAACAUAAAAAAAGCGUGGCUAAAACAUAAACAAAUGGGUGUGGCUGUGUUUCAAAACAUAUUUAUUUAGGCGUCUGGCCUGUGGAUUGUAGGUUUUCAACUUCUAAGCUAAGCCAUAUAAAACCAAUAUAAAGAACUCAUUACUGAGAUUCACAAAGAAACUGCAUUCUAAAGCAUCCCCACAAAAUGAGAUAGUUGGUGCCUACUCCUGGUUUGCUAAUAGGCUCACUGAAAAUAUGCUGGUGGAUAAUAGGCAUAUAUUUUCUUCUUUGUUCUCCUGAUAUCAUAUGACUUAACACUGCUUCUGGAGUAAAUAGAUUCACA
ensembl:lncRNA